UAAGGCUUUAAGUUAAAAAAACUAAUAGCCUUCAAAGCUAUAAAUAUAAGAAAAAUCUUUUAAGCCUUAG
rnacentral:tRNA from 1 species